CACGUAGUUAGCCGGGGCUUCUUAGUCAGGUGCCGUCAUUAUCUUCCCUGCUGAUAGAGCUUUACAUACCGAAAUACUUCUUCACUCACGCGGCGUCGCUGCAUCAGGGUUUCCCCCAUUGUGCAAUAUUCCCCACUGCUGCCUCCCGUAGGAGUCUGGGCCGUGUCUCAGUCCCAAUGUGGCCGUUCACUCUCUCAAGCCGGCUACUGAUCGUCGCCUUGGUAGGCCGUUACCCUGCCAACUAGCUAAUCAGACGCGGGUCCAUCUCACAGCGAUAAAUCUUUGAAGGAACCUUCAUGCGGAGAUCCCUUGUUAUGCGGUAUUAGCAGCCGUUUCCGGCUGUUGUCCCCCUCUGUGAGGCAGGUUACCCACGCGUUACUCACCCGUCCGCCACUCAGUCAUUACCAUCUUCCCUCCGAAAAGUUCCGUCGGUAGCGCUUCGUUCGACUUGCAUGUGUUAGCACGCCGCCAGCGUUCAUCCUGACGCC
rnacentral:rRNA from 1 species